CAUAUUCAUAUUGUGUGCUUGGAAGCUGCACAUCCUUUUGUGCUGUGAGAAGGCAGAGGUGUUGGCGUUGGAUGAGGGCGCAUGGAGCAGCCAGUGUGGGUACAGUAGGAGGGCUCUGUGAUGCUGAAGAGAGGCUAUCAUAUCCCAGAAUACAAAUCAUCAUCACCAUCAUCUGAACUAGAAGAAAAACUGCUUUACAAACCUCUUCCGCACAAGCUCCUCCUUUAAACCUCCUGUCUCAAACUUGAAGAUUAGCGGUGCCAGUUUAGCAGCAGCGGUGCCUCGUUUUCUUCUUGUGAACCGGUGACUCAUUCAGAAAUAUUAAAAAGAAAAUGCGGUUUAUCUUUAAUGGUGGACACAGCUGGGGCCACUGUCCAAGCACAGAGAUUUUGUUGAACAUUUGCUUUUAUCAAAUGGUGUAAUGGUCGUCAACAAUACUCCAAAAACAAAAGCAGCAACACCUCUGGACAACCACAUGGACUCGCUUGAACAUCCGAUGUUACAAUCUCAAGGCAAAGGAGCUCGAAGAAAAGGUCGAUUUAAAGGUUCAGAUGGCAGCACCUCCUCCGACACCACAACCAACAGCCUUGUUCGCCAGCUGAACCAGUGUGCCAGCCUGCAACUGUACCACUCUCUGCCACAGCACAGCAGCACUGCAGAGGAUUUGGCAGCCCAGAGGAUCUGCUGGAGCGGUUACAGAUAUCAGGGUGGGGUAAACAGUCAGCGUAGACCUGCACCUUGUGGACACUCUGCUGCAACAGUCCAGAGAUG
rnacentral:lncRNA from 1 species